GGGUUGUGAGGUUAAGCGACUAAGCGUACACGGUGGAUGCCCUGGCAGUCAGAGGCGAUGAAGGACGUGCUAAUCUGCGAUAAGCGUCGGUAAGGUGAUAUGAACCGUUAUAACCGGCGAUUUCCGAAUGGGGAAACCCAGUGUGAUUCGUCACACUAUCAUUAACUGAAUCCAUAGGUUAAUGAGGCGAACCGGGGGAACUGAAACAUCUAAGUACCCCGAGGAAAAGAAAUCAACCGAGAUUCCCCCAGUAGCGGCGAGCGAACGGGGAGGAGCCCAGAGCCUGAAUCAGUGUGUGUGUUAGUGGAAGCGUCUGGAAAGGCGCGCGAUACAGGGUGACAGCCCCGUACACAAAAAUGCACAUGCUGUGAGCUCGAUGAGUAGGGCGGGACACGUGGUAUCCUGUCUGAAUAUGGGGGGACCAUCCUCCAAGGCUAAAUACUCCUGACUGACCGAUAGUGAACCAGUACCGUGAGGGAAAGGCGAAAAGAACCCCGGCGAGGGGAGUGAAAAAGAACCUGAAACCGUGUACGUACAAGCAGUGGGAGCACGCUUAGGCGUGUGACUGCGUACCUUUUGUAUAAUGGGUCAGCGACUUAUAUUCUGUAGCAAGGUUAACCGAAUAGGGGAGCCGAAGGGAAACCGAGUCUUAACUGGGCGUUAAGUUGCAGGGUAUAGACCCGAAACCCGGUGAUCUAGCCAUGGGCAGGUUGAAGGUUGGGUAACACUAACUGGAGGACCGAACCGACUAAUGUUGAAAAAUUAGCGGAUGACUUGUGGCUGGGGGUGAAAGGCCAAUCAAACCGGGAGAUAGCUGGUUCUCCCCGAAAGCUAUUUAGGUAGCGCCUCGUGAAUUCAUCUCCGGGGGUAGAGCACUGUUUCGGCAAGGGGGUCAUCCCGACUUACCAACCCGAUGCAAACUGCGAAUACCGGAGAAUGUUAUCACGGGAGACACACGGCGGGUGCUAACGUCCGUCGUGAAGAGGGAAACAACCCAGACCGCCAGCUAAGGUCCCAAAGUCAUGGUUAAGUGGGAAACGAUGUGGGAAGGCCCAGACAGCCAGGAUGUUGGCUUAGAAGCAGCCAUCAUUUAAAGAAAGCGUAAUAGCUCACUGGUCGAGUCGGCCUGCGCGGAAGAUGUAACGGGGCUAAACCAUGCACCGAAGCUGCGGCAGCGACACUAUGUGUUGUUGGGUAGGGGAGCGUUCUGUAAGCCUGUGAAGGUGUGCUGUGAGGCAUGCUGGAGGUAUCAGAAGUGCGAAUGCUGACAUAAGUAACGAUAAAGCGGGUGAAAAGCCCGCUCGCCGGAAGACCAAGGGUUCCUGUCCAACGUUAAUCGGGGCAGGGUGAGUCGACCCCUAAGGCGAGGCCGAAAGGCGUAGUCGAUGGGAAACAGGUUAAUAUUCCUGUACUUGGUGUUACUGCGAAGGGGGGACGGAGAAGGCUAUGUUGGCCGGGCGACGGUUGUCCCGGUUUAAGCGUGUAGGCUGGUUUUCCAGGCAAAUCCGGAAAAUCAAGGCUGAGGCGUGAUGACGAGGCACUACGGUGCUGAAGCAACAAAUGCCCUGCUUCCAGGAAAAGCCUCUAAGCAUCAGGUAACAUCAAAUCGUACCCCAAACCGACACAGGUGGUCAGGUAGAGAAUACCAAGGCGCUUGAGAGAACUCGGGUGAAGGAACUAGGCAAAAUGGUGCCGUAACUUCGGGAGAAGGCACGCUGAUAUGUAGGUGAAGUCCCUCGCGGAUGGAGCUGAAAUCAGUCGAAGAUACCAGCUGGCUGCAACUGUUUAUUAAAAACACAGCACUGUGCAAACACGAAAGUGGACGUAUACGGUGUGACGCCUGCCCGGUGCCGGAAGGUUAAUUGAUGGGGUCAGCGCAAGCGAAGCUCUUGAUCGAAGCCCCGGUAAACGGCGGCCGUAACUAUAACGGUCCUAAGGUAGCGAAAUUCCUUGUCGGGUAAGUUCCGACCUGCACGAAUGGCGUAAUGAUGGCCAGGCUGUCUCCACCCGAGACUCAGUGAAAUUGAACUCGCUGUGAAGAUGCAGUGUACCCGCGGCAAGACGGAAAGACCCCGUGAACCUUUACUAUAGCUUGACACUGAACAUUGAGCCUUGAUGUGUAGGAUAGGUGGGAGGCUUUGAAGUGUGGACGCCAGUCUGCAUGGAGCCGACCUUGAAAUACCACCCUUUAAUGUUUGAUGUUCUAACGUGGACCCGUGAUCCGGGUUGCGGACAGUGUCUGGUGGGUAGUUUGACUGGGGCGGUCUCCUCCUAAAGAGUAACGGAGGAGCACGAAGGUUGGCUAAUCCUGGUCGGACAUCAGGAGGUUAGUGCAAUGGCAUAAGCCAGCUUGACUGCGAGCGUGACGGCGCGAGCAGGUGCGAAAGCAGGUCAUAGUGAUCCGGUGGUUCUGAAUGGAAGGGCCAUCGCUCAACGGAUAAAAGGUACUCCGGGGAUAACAGGCUGAUACCGCCCAAGAGUUCAUAUCGACGGCGGUGUUUGGCACCUCGAUGUCGGCUCAUCACAUCCUGGGGCUGAAGUAGGUCCCAAGGGUAUGGCUGUUCGCCAUUUAAAGUGGUACGCGAGCUGGGUUUAGAACGUCGUGAGACAGUUCGGUCCCUAUCUGCCGUGGGCGCUGGAGAACUGAGGGGGGCUGCUCCUAGUACGAGAGGACCGGAGUGGACGCAUCACUGGUGUUCGGGUUGUCAUGCCAAUGGCACUGCCCGGUAGCUAAAUGCGGAAGAGAUAAGUGCUGAAAGCAUCUAAGCACGAAACUUGCCCCGAGAUGAGUUCUCCCUGACUCCUUGAGAGUCCUGAAGGAACGUUGAAGACGACGACGUUGAUAGGCCGGGUGUGUAAGCGCAGCGAUGCGUUGAGCUAACCGGUACUAAUGAACCGUGAGGCUUAACCUUACAACGCCGAAG
rnacentral:rRNA from 1 species